rnacentral:lncRNA from 1 species
UGUGGAGGCUCAAAAGAGCAGAGCUGGGAGACCAGGGAGGAUGUAGCUGCAGGAAUCCCAGGAAUGCAGGUGAGGGCUGGAGGCGGUUGCCCUGCAGGUGAGUGAUGGGAGAGGCCAGAGGGGCCAGCGAGGUGUGGGUCUGGAGCCAGCAGAUCAUGUUUUCUGUCUGUCCUUCCUCCACGACGAUGUACUCUUUAGGAGCCGAGUGACGAUGACCUGUGGAUGAGCAGCCUGGGAUGCCCCUGUCCCCAGCCUCUUCAACCUGACACAAGUUUGCAUUCUAUGCUCUCUUUCUUUGGAACAAGGAUUGACUCCUAAGUGGCAUCUGGAGAAGGCCGAGCUUCCUGCAGGGACCUGAAGAGGGUUUUUAGAAACAGAAACGGAGUCAUCAGAUUGCUCACAGUGGCCAAAUCUUGCCCUAAAGUCAAAGCUCUGAAGCACUGCACUAAAGAGCUCUUGGAACACCCG